UGAAUACCGAGAUGGAGUUUUGCUCAAGUGACAAAUCUAUAAAACCUAAAACCUUACUUAUAAAAUGUUUGCACAUCAAAUGUCAAAAUUAAAGCUACACUACUACCAACGUCAAAUUUGGUGUAUUAUAUUAUUGUAGUCAAACAGUCUAAACCAAUUCCAUCAAUACAUUGUCGAAUGUUGUGGCAUUCAAUUUUCAGUAAAUUUAUAGGUGUUUUAUUUUAAGAUACUGUGGCACACUAUUGCAGAUAACGGUUUUCCAUUAGGUCAGUAAAAAGAAUAAGAUGGAUUCACAAGUUCAAAUCAAAUAUUAGACAACUAUAUAUAUUUAGUUAUUCAGCUAAAAAUGUAAUUCAAUAAAAUAAUUUAAAAGUACUUUAUCAUGUUAAAAGU